rnacentral:rRNA from 1 species
GACGAAUGCUGGCUGCGUGCUUAACACAUGCAAGUCGAACGGUGAAGGGGAGCUUGCUCCCCGGAUCAGUGGCGAACGGGUGAGUAACACGUGGGCAACCUGCCCCUCACUCUGGGAUAACUCCGGGAAACCGGGGCUAAUACCGGAUACGACCGGGAGCGACAUCGCUCCUGGUGGAAAGAACUUCGGUGAGGGAUGGGCCCGCGGCCUAUCAGCUAGUUGGUGGGGUAACGGCCCACCAAGGCGACGACGGGUAGCCGGCCUGAGAGGGCGACCGGCCACACUGGGACUGAGACACGGCCCAGACUCCUACGGGAGGCAGCAGUGGGGAAUAUUGCGCAAUGGGCGAAAGCCUGACGCAGCGACGCAGCGUGAGGGACGAAGGCCUUCGGGUUGUAAACCUCUUUCAGCGGGGACGAAGCGAAAGUGACGGUACCCGCAGAAGAAGCACCGGCUAACUACGUGCCAGCAGCCGCGGUAAGAC